rnacentral:rRNA from 1 species
UAGGGAAUCUUCCACAAUGGACGCAAGUCUGAUGGAGGAACGCCGCAUGAGUGAAGAAGGGUUUCGGCUCGUAAAGCUCUGUUGUUGAAGAAGAACGUGGGUAAGAGUAACUGUUUACCCAGUGACGGUAUUUAACCAGAAAGCCACGGCUAACUACGUGCCAG